GUUGAACGCUGGCGGCAUGCCUUACACAUGCAAGUCGAACGGCAGCACGGGAGCAAUCCUGGUGGCGAGUGGCGAACGGGUGAGUAAUAUAUCGGAACGUGCCCAGUAAUGGGGGAUAGCCCGGCGAAAGCCGGAUUAAUACCGCAUACGACCUACGGGUGAAAGCAGGGGAUCGCAAGACCUUGCGUUAUUGGAGCGGCCGAUAUCAGAUUAGCUGGUUGGUGGGGUAAAGGCCUACCACGCGACGAUCUGUAGCUGGCCUGAGAGGACGACCAGGCGAACUGGGAAGGAGACACGGCCCAGACUCCUACGGGAGGCAGCAGUGGGGAAUUUGGGACAAGGGGGGCAACCCUGAUCCAGCAAUGCCGCGUGAGUGAAGAAGGCCUUCGGGUUGUAAAGCUAUUUUGUCAGGGAAGAAACACCGGCUCUAACACAGUCUGGGAAUGACGGUACCUGAAGAAUAAGCACCGGCUAACUACGUGCCAGCAGCCGCCGUAA
rnacentral:rRNA from 1 species